AUCUCAGGCUCCUCUCCAUUCAACCGAGAAAAUCUUUCGCCUUUUACUAAAGAUUUCCGUGCAAAGGUGCAUUUUAUGAGUAUUUGUGGAUUUUUGGAAUCCCCUCGAAAGAGCGGGGU
rnacentral:snRNA from 1 species